rnacentral:tmRNA from 1 species
GGGGGCGACCUGGUUUCGACGUGGGUUGCGAAGCAGCGCAGGGCAUACCGAGGACCAGGCUACCUCGUAAAUCCAUCUGGAACACGCAAUAGUCGCCAACGACGAAAGCUACGCCCUCGCCGCUUAAUCGGUGAGGCUGUGCACCGGUUUUUUCCUGGGCCGGAGUUUGGGGCAACCCAGACCGCACAGUCAUUUACAGGAAAAUCGGACACGUCGGGGCUACUUCGGCGGGUCUUAAAUCCAAGGUAGCUCGCUCUGUCGCAGUCUGUCCGUGGACGACGCCAGCGUUAAACCAAAUCACGUGGCUAAGUAUGUAGAACUGCCUGUAGAGGGCUUGCGGACGCGGGUUCGAUUCCCGCCGCCUCCACCA